GUUUCUUUCUAACCUGAUUGUGGAGAGCAUAAAGGUGAGGGGAAGCCAUUAGGAAGUAUGACUAAGAAAGGGAAAAUACAACAUAUCACCCAGACCACCCAGUUCUCACCAAAUUGGAAGGUGUCAAAAUGGCCUUAUUUGAAGCCCAUUGGAUUUUUCCAUCAGCUCCAGCAAGACCUUGGAUGAGGCCCUAGAUACAGGUGAAAAAAAAGUCUGAAAUGACACAAGGUCAGCAGGUUCUGCUGUAACAGUCUUCAUGAGGUUCUGGCACACUGGACUGCAGUUAUUAUUUGAUCCAAACUGAACCUUUAAUGACAGUAGUUAAUAAUCUUUUUAUCUGCUGCUAAUAAGGCCAUUCUCUCAUAGAAAUUACUUCUUUUGUUCUGUUUUGUCUUCCUUUUUUUUUGGACUGAGGAAAACCAAUACAAAAUAAUCGGCAUUUUUAAUGGCAUCUAUCCAGUCCAUAUUCUUUUGGCUGUCAUCUCUUCUUAGCUACAUUUUUGGCUGUAUAUACUGACAGUGGCCUCCUGCAGUGGAGGAAUAUGAUGUCUUGGAUGUAUCUCAUGUAGGAAAAGCUGUAGAAAGUGAAUGGCCUUCUCGAUACUCUUGCAGUAAAAUCACAAUGUUAGCUUGGCCCAUGUUUUGUUGCCUUCCACAGACACCCCUCUUUCCCAACAUGCUAAUAAUUUUGGAGAAGCCACAUGUUAGAUGCGCUUAUCUUGAUGGUUGAAAACUUUCUUUACAUUCUCUGGAAUUUAUUGAAUGCUUAUACCAAGAUAUUUGUGCACGUCUCAUCCCUAAAAUCCACAAAGCAUUAUUCAUGACCUACUACUUUCCAAGGCAUA